ACGCACGCUGGCGGCGUGCUUAACACAUGCAAGUCGAACGGAAAGGCCCUGCUUGCAGGGUACUCGAGUGGCGAACGGGUGAGUAACACGUGGGUGAUCUACCCUGCACUUCGGGAUAAGCCUGGGAAACUGGGUCUAAUACCGGAUAGGAGCCAUUUUUAGUGUGAUGGUUGGAAAGUUUUUUCGGUGUAGGAUGAGCUCGCGGCCUAUCAGCUUGUUGGUGGGGUAAUGGCCUACCAAGGCGGCGACGGGUAGCCGGCCAGAGAGGGUGGACGGCCACAUUGGGACUGACGUGCGGCCCAGGCUGCUAAGGGAGGCAGCAGUGGGGAAUAUUGAACAAUGAGCGCAGGCCUGGUGCAGAGACGCCGCGUGGGGGAUGACGGCCUUCGGGUUGUAAACUCCUUUCGCUAGGGACGAAGCUUUUUGUGACGGUACCUAGAUAAGAAGCACCGGCUAACUACGUG
rnacentral:rRNA from 1 species